CCCCACCCGGCCAUGACUAAUCUUAAUAUGUCUAUUUUUGCUCAUUGUCACUGAGUGGACCUGGAGGCUGAGGGCUGGAAGAGCAACUGGAAUUGCUGUAGUGCCAAAUAUAUCCCCUUUCAUGUUGAUGCCACCCUGGCCAAGGUAUCAUUUUUGUGUGGCAGCCAGAGAAAUCUUUUCAAAAAGAAGGUGGAGCUCUAGUCCUGUGGCUGCCAGUUGUCUUCAGGUCCCGGCCUUUCCUGCCCCCAGGCUCAUCUCUAUCCAGGACUGCCUGGGAGUCCAGCUCCAGUCAAGUUCAGAGGUUUUGGGGAUUAGGACCAGACCGUCUUUGGAGGGGCAUCCUUCUGCCUGCCAUAUGUGACUUGGGGGCAUGCGGGAAAUGGCUGGAGCGUAACCACAAAGCAUACAGCAUGCAGCCAAGCAACAUGUGACAAGAUGAAUCCACAAGCGCUGGGGAGACAACCAGUGAGGAAGAAGCCCAGGAGACUUCUUGGAGGAAGCGAGUUUCAAACCAGAGACAGGAGCUCACCCUGUCACCUAGACUGGAGUGCAGUGGCACAGUCAUAAUUCACUGCAGCCUCAAUCUUCCAAGCUCAAGUGAUCCUCCUGCCUCAGCCUCCUGAGUAGCUGGGACCACAGACACUCACUACCAUACUCAGUUGGCCAGAAGUAGACAUAUCAUCUGUCAAACUGAAAGCAGUCUGGGAGCUACAGAGCAGCUGUGUGCUCAGGAAGAAGAGGACUGAGUUUGGUGGGCAUCUGGCCAGUUCCUGCCACCAUGCUGCUGGAUGAGAAAGCUGGAUGAAGUUCCUUAUUAAGGGCAAAUGAGUGAGUCUCCUGACUUGACUAGGUUUGUGCCUUCAGAGCUCUGUCUCCUGUGGUGAAUCACACACUCCAGCCAACAAUUCUGCCAUUCUUCAAAUCAUGCUUGGGAUUCCAUUUUUGGUACUCUCUUCAGAGCCUUUGAAUAUUCUAAUGAAUGGUAAAUUUUUAUCCUUUGAGAGUUCUUUUGAUUCCUAGAAGCACCAGAAAUCAUUUGGAACCAAGCCUGGGAAUAAGGGGACUGAUCAAGCUAAAUCACCUUUUUUGGGUCAAAAAUGAGAUGUGACCAUAAAGUAAACCAACUCUUGAGGCAAAUUCCAAAGAUGAGAUACCCACACAGCACAUUUUGAGGAUUGACUGUGUCACUGGAAUAAUUCUGUGAGGCUUCCCAAGGGGCUGAUUUGGAAGGAACAACAUUCAUUUACAUGCAGUCAUGUGCCGCAUGAUGACAUUUGGGUCAAUGACAGAACACAUAUAUGACAGGGGUCCCAUAAGAUUAUAUAAGAAAAUUCCUAUCACCUAGUGAUGUUAUAGCCAUUGUAAUGUCAUAACACAACACAUUACUCGUGCUUGUGGUGAUGCUGGUGUAAACAAACCCACUUCACUGCCAGUUGUAUAAAAGUAUAGCACAUAUUAAUACAAUUAUAUACAGUACAUAAUACUUGAUAAUAAACAACCAUGUUACUGGUUUAUAUAUUUAGUAUACUAUACUUUUUAUUGUUAUCUUAUUUUUUGUUUUUCUUUUCAUUUUUGAGAUGGAGUCUUGCUCUAUCACCCAGGAUGGAGUGCAGUGGCAUGAUCUUGGCUCACUACAACCUCCGCCUCCUGGGUUCAAGUGAUCCUCCCACCUCAGCUUCCCAAGUAGCUGGGAUUACAGGCGUGUACAACCACACCCAGCUAAUUUUGUUUUGUGUUUUUAAUAGAGACAGGGUUUCACCAUGUUGGCCAGGCUGGUCUCGAACUCCUGACCUCAAGUAAUCCACCUGCCUUGGCUUCCCAAAGUGCUGGGAUUACAGGUGUGAGCCACCACACUCAGCCUUUUUAUUGUUAUUUUAGAGUGUACACCUGCUACUAAUUAAAAAAGAGAAGUGGUGUAGAAAAAAGAAAAAUUAAAUAAAUCUGCUAAAAUCUCUUUUUAAAAUUUAAAGUAAACCUAAUCUGGUAUUUCCAGAUUAAAAAAAAAGAGUUAAGUGUAAAACAGCCUCAGGCAGGUCCUUCAGGAGGUAUUCUAGAAGAAGGCAUUGUUAUUACAGGAGAUGGCAGCUCCAUGUGUAUUAUUGCCCCUGAAGACCUGCCACUGGGGCAAGAUGUGGAGAUGGAAGACAGUGAUAGUGAUAAUCCUGACCCUGUGUAGAUCUAAUGUGUGUGUUUGUAUCUUUGUUUUUAACAAAAAAGCUUAAAAAGUAAAAACAAGUAAAAAAAUUUAAAAGUAGAAAAAAAUUAGAAAAUUAGAAAAAAAGUAGAAAAGUAGAAAAAAGCAGAAAUUAUAGAAUAAGGAAGUAAAGGAUAUAAAGAAAGAACAUCUUUUUGUAUAGCUAUACAAUGUGUUUGUGUUUUAGCUAAAUGUUAAUACAAAAGAGACAAAAAGUUAAAAAAAUUAAAGGUUUAUAAAGUAAAAAUGUUACAUUAAGGUUAAUUUGUUAUUGAAGAAAGAAAAAUAUCUUUUAUAAAUUUAGCGUAGCCUAAACACAACGUCUACAUAAAGUCUACAGAGUCAGGCACAGGAAUGUCCCAGGCCUUCCCAUUCACCUACCUCUCACUCACUGACUCACCCAGAGCAACUUCCAGUCCUACAAGAUCCAUUUACGGUAAGCGCCCUGUACAGGUGUACCUUUUUAAAUCUUUUAUACUUUAUUUUUACUGCAGCUUUUCCAUGUUUAGAUAAACAAAUACCAUUGUGUUACAGUAGUCUACAUUAUUCAGUGCAGUAACAUGCUGUACAGGUUUGUCACAUAGGAACUGUAGCCUAUGUCAUACAGCCUUGGUGCGUAGUAGGCAGUACCUUCUGAGUUUGUGUGAGUAUACUCUAUGAUGUUCAAACCACAACACAAUUGCCUAAGGAUACAUUUCUCAGAAAGUAUCCUUGUCAUUGAAUGACACAUGACUGUAUAUACAUUUUGAUAAAUUGUGUGUGUGUGUGUGUGUGUGUGUGUGUGUGUAGUGGAUUACUUUGUAGUUUAGGUUCAUACGCUGUCAUUUAUUCAUGAUCUAUGUUGGUCUUUUUGCCCAAUCAACUGAAUCUACAGGAGUAGAGGUGUAUCUUCUGUAAGCAAUCAUCUCAAUUUAUGGUUUUAAGUAUUCUUGACAUGCCGUCAGCCUGUAUAACCCAUCAUGGAUUUGUUCCGUCACUCACUAAGUAUGUAUUGAAUGUCUAUGUGUGCAAAGCUAUUUUGCUUGAUUCAGACAAACUGUGAUACUAGAUGACAGCAACUGCUUCCCUAGCAGCCUGAAGCUCAGUUUGUAGGUGCUAGCAACAGAGUGUUCUAGGAUGAAGAAGCAAGAAUCGGGCACAGACCUCUUGGAUGGCCAGUAUGAGAGGAAACUGGUCUUGGAAUAGGCUGCACUUGAUGGUUCAACUGAAGUGUCCUGAGAAGAGUGAUUACCCAUAAAAUUUUCUCAUUGGCUGAAGAACACUGGAUCAGCUUUUCCCUGGACUGGUGCUUUGCUUUUCUGAAUAAACCCAGUGUCUUGGAACAUCCUCA
rnacentral:lncRNA from 1 species